GUGAGACCUAAAUCAACUACUACAAUAUUACAUUAUUUUGUUGUUGCUUAAUUUAUAUACAUCUAUGAUUUAGUGUAUCAUAAGAAAUCAAUGCUCCAAUAUAUUUAAUUUUUCAUACGCACAUUCCAUUGUACUAAAUGACAUCAAGAUUUGUUUUGAUGUUUGUGAUUUUGGGUUGUUGUCUGACUGCUGUUUUGCAGCACCACAAUUCUUUUAUUUUUUCAAUGUAUUGUCAUUUGUUUAAAGGCUUAUGAUCUGUUUAAUAAUGCUUUCUCCUAUAAUACUAUUGUUAGGGUUGUAUGUAUAUUUAAUCACUUGCAAUGAGUAUAUAUUGUUUAGACUUAUCCUGUUAUUUUACAUUCCAGUGUUUAGAUUUACUAUUUUUUUUAUACACCACCAAGUUAUUUAUACGACUAAAAUAUCAUGGCAUAAAGGAUUCAUAAGAAUUAAAAGAUUCCAGAUGGUUUUUGGAAAGAUUGGAACUUGUUCUAAAUCUUUCCUUAGGCACUGGCCUCCCUAACAACACGACAGGUUAGCUACUAUUACUAAAUGUAUUUACACUGAAAUAUAGUUCCCUAUAGUUCUCAUGUAUGUGCACAUAAUAUACAUAUAUAAACUGUAAAAAAAUGGGUUUUAUUUUUGGAGCAGUUCAUUCAAGAAUGUAUGUCAUUAAGGUGUUUUGAUGGAAAGGCUUUUUUAAAAUAUUUUGAUUAGGUCAUUGAGUAUUGAUACAAUACUAGAUUAUUGACAACUGUCAUUAUCAUCAACCAUUCAGGGACAAGGUGGACCUUUAAUUGAAAUGCCCCACCUCCUAAAUGGUCAAUCAAAUUGACCACAUUACUUAUCAACCUCAAUCUUACAUAAUUAUAUAGACCAUUUAAUAUACAUCCCAAUACACAAAUAUCAAUGAAUAUUUAACCUAAUAAUUGAAUACACAAAUGUAUAUAUUAGAUGUUUGAUAAAUAAG
rnacentral:lncRNA from 1 species